AGUGAACGCUGGCGGUAGGCCUAACACAUGCAAGUCGAACGGCAGCACAGUAAGAGCUUGCUCUUACGGGUGGCGAGUGGCGGACGGGUGAGGAAUACAUCGGAAUCUACUUUUUCGUGGGGGAUAACGUAGGGAAACUUACGCUAAUACCGCAUACGACCUACGGGUGAAAGCAGGGGAUCUUCGGACCUUGCGCGAUUGAAUGAGCCGAUGUCGGAUUAGCUAGUUGGCGGGGUAAAGGCCCACCAAGGCGACGAUCCGUAGCUGGUCUGAGAGGAUGAUCAGCCAGACUGGAACUGAGACACGGUACAGACUCCUACGGGAGGCAGCAGUGGGGAAUAUUGGACAAUGGGCGAAAGCCUGAUCCAGCCAUACCGCGUGGAUGAAGAAGGCCUUCGGGUUGUAAAGCCCUUUUGUUGGGAAAGAAAAGCAGCAGGUUAAUACCCCGCUGUUCUGACGGUACCCAAAGAAUAAGCACCGGCUAACUUCGUG
rnacentral:rRNA from 1 species